ACCAAUUCUGGGAGAUAAACAGAGUUCUUCUUGGUAUAAUGGCUUGGACGCUAAAGUAUAGAGAUGUGGCUAUCCUGAUCUGUGGCUUCUUUCCGUGCCAUCGGUCCUGGAAACACCACAUACAUCC